UACAGAGGUCCCAAGCGUUGUUCGGAUUCACUGGGCGUAAAGGGUGCGUAGGCGGUCGGGUAAGUCUGAUGUGAAAUCUCCGAGCCCAACUCGGAAACGGCAUCGGAUACUAUCUGGCUUGAGGGUUGCAGGGGAGACUGGAAUUCUCGGUGUAGCAGUGAAAUGCGUAGAUAUCGAGAGGAACACCAGUGGCGAAGGCGAGUCUCUGGACAAUUCCUGACGCUGAGGCACGAAAGCCAGGGGAGCAAACGGG
rnacentral:rRNA from 1 species